UUUAACAUGAUGGACUAUAGGACAGGACUGCUGCUUUUAACUGUCUGCUGGGCAGGUGUUGAUGGUCAGACUCUGACAGAAUCUGAACCAGCGGUUAAAAGGCCUGGAGAAUCCCACAGAUUGACCUGUACAACCUCUGGAAUAUCAUUCAGCAGCUACUGGAUGGCCUGGAUCAGACAGGCUCCUGGAAAAGGACUGGAGUGGAUUUCCAGCAUUGAAUAUGAUAGUGACAGGAAGUUUUACUCUCAGUCAGUCCAAGGGAGGUUUACGGCCUCCAGAGACAACAGCAAAGAGCAGCUGUAUCUGCAGAUGAACAGUCUGAAGACUGAAGAUUCUGCUGUUUAUUAUUGUGCUCGACACUCACAGUGACUGGAGUUGGUUGAGCAGCUGUACAAAAUCCUACAGUACUCAUCUUUCCUGUGCUGAUAGAUCCUGAGAAAGACUUCUGUUUUUAUUUGAACUUCUGUUGUUUUUAAUUAAAUCAUGAAAAUUGGCCCUGAGAAAGAUCAUAAUUAAUCAACAACAACAAACACAUAAUUAAAAAUAUCUUACUGUAAAGACCACUUCUUCAUAAAACAGCCAAUGACAGCAAAACAAUCUGCUGAAAUCAUUGUCAAGGUGUAAAUAAAAGACACACUACAUGUUCACAUUUCAGCCAUUGGCAGACAUCUAGCUGAUCACAUUAUGGAAGUGAAAAUGUUGCAGUUCCCUAUAAAAACACUAGCAGGCAGUCAGUGUCAAGUUUCUUUCUCCUCUGUCAAUAUAAGGAGAAUCUCAUAUCUGCUGAUCUGCUGAAAAAGCUCUGUAGCAAACAGUAUUCAACUUUUCUAAAGAAUCUUACUUUAUGAGAUUUAAGAC